ensembl:lncRNA
AAAGGGGGUCGCACACUGGACGAGAAGCGCAGCGCCGCAUCGCGCCACAUGCAGGACAACUCGAGGAGCUUCAAAGAAGACGGAGAAAUCCAGAGUCUUGUGCCCUGCGUUUAUCGGUAUCCUUAUGUUCAUUGGGUAAAAAAGAAAAACUCAAUAAACAAAGUAAAAAAUAUCAAAGGUUUCUAUAGAUAUCACGACAUAUCGAUAUCGUGAAUUCUUAUGGCCACAAUAACCGUGGUAUGAAAAAUCUAAUAUUGUGACAGCCCUAGUAAACAGGAAUAAAUUACAUUUCAAAAUAUAUUCAAAUAGAAAACAGCUCUUUUAAACUGUAAUAAUGUUUUACACUGUUACUGUUUUUGCUGUAUUUUUUUUUAUUAUUAAUUAAAUGCAGCCUGGGUAAACUUAAGAGACUUCCAAAACCAUUAAAAAAAUCUUAAUUACUCCAAACAUUUGGCCGGCAGUGAAUACAGACAGAACAACAUAUGAUGGUAUAUUAAAAUUUGUAAACCACAACUGUUACCUGAAGGUGAUAUUUCUACCUGAUCUGGUCUGUUUUAAGCACCAAAAUUAAAGAAUUUAAUGUGCAUUUGCUGAGAUAUAACCAGGAACAGACUACUGAAUUUGUUAUUAACCGCUGUAUAUAUUUAACAGGUAAGAUUCAGCUCACACGGCAGGCAGUAAAAGAAACAUUAGACAGCGCUGAAUGUCUUUAAAUGCAAUAAAACCCCUGCAAUGCUUCCAUCACACCACAUUACCACAUGGACUCCAGAAAAAAAACUCUAUAUGGUCAAUUAGGAACACUGUGAAGUAGAAUUGCAGUUUCAAAAGAGAUAUUUCCAGUGUAAAAUAACCAGAACAAUGACAUGGUCACAUUUUAAAAACCAUGAAUUAUUAUCCAUGAGAUUGCCUAGAUGGGUGCUGUCUUGUGGGUAGAUGUGCUUGUGUAUAUAUUUAGGCUUUAUUGUCGUCAUCCUAAAUCUCAUCCACGUCCUGAUGUUAAUUUUUGUAUGACUCAAACAUUGUCAAGCACUACAAGAGAAGUCCUUACCAGAGGAUUUAUUUGCAGAGAGCUCUAAUGUUACAGCCAG